CCGGGCAGUGGGGGGGACUGUUGGGUAUUGGGGGAGGGGGCAGUGGGGGCAUGGGGACGGUUCACACCACGCUGGGCACUGCCCUGCUGCCCUGAUUGCUCCAUGUCCCCAACCCCCAGUGGCGAGGUCCCAUCCCCAGAGUGCUGGGAAAGUGUCUGGCCCCUCGCUGGGCUCAGGAGGGUGACUUACAGAGGAAGCAGCCCCUGCCCGCUCUCCCUUUGGGUUAAAAGCCGCAAGGGGCCGACCCCUUCUGUGUGACCUGGGCCAGCCAGGCCUCUCUUCCCCCAGCCCUGGCCUGCCCUUCUAGCCUGGACAGCUGCUGUGGCAUAUGGAUCUCCGUCCUUUUGGCAAAGCGCAGGGGUGCGUGUUAGGGGAGACGUCCUCUUUCUCUGCCCCCUUCCCAUAGGGCUGCUUCUCCUGUCACCUUUGCUGCCCUAUGCAAACUCCUGCGGUCUAGCGUGAAAGGCGGGUCUGUGGUUAAGACACUGGAUUUGGACUGCGGAGAAUCUGGUCUCAGCUCCUGGUUCUCGGGCGAGUUGUUGAGGGCCGGACUGGAGUCCUUCCAUUUGCUCGGGUAGGGGUUGGAUCCUCCCCUUAGCCUCUCGCUCCGUCCCUCGGUGGAAUGUAACGGCCGGGCUGGAAAGCGCGUCUGCAGCGCAGUCCUCCAGAGCAGAGAGUCUCAUUCCGGAGAGCAUCGUCCGGAAGCUUCGUCUGGGGAGUUACGAUGGGAGAACGCCAAGCGUGGGGCUGGCAGGGUGCCCGGAGAAGGCUAGGAAAAGCGCGUGUAGGGGGAUGCGUCAAAUGCACCCUGGUCUGGUUUUGGAGGAGCUGGCUUUCACCUCCGCUCGAUGGGGAGGGCGAGCCCUCUCCUCUCCUCUCCGGCUCGCUUUGGCUGCCACGAGAAUGCGUGGUUAUCGCUGCGUUGCAGCCAGCCCCGGAUUUCGAGCCGACGCCAGCUGCGCCGUGAGCUGUUCCUUGAGCCCAGCAUAAUAUGCCUGUUUGCGGCCGGAGCUCGAAGGGCUUGUGAGCUGAUCUCAUCUGACUUUCUCCUGUGCAGACAAGCUUCUCCAGCGGGUUGUCAUUCCUUUCUGAAGGCUGGCUGCUUUCCCCUUCUCAUUUCUCCUGCCCGUGUCUCUUUCUUUCCCCCACCGCCUCCCUUCCCUCCAGCGGGGUCACGUCACUGAGGCGUGCACAGCAGCACCCCAGCUUUCGGCUUCGUUGGCAGGAGCGUGUGACGAUGCCUAGAGGAAACCUCGGCCCUGCCCUGCUCCCAGUGGCAUAAAUUUCACUAGGGAACACGACACCCACUGUUUGGCAGCUGUUACAUUAAUUGCUUGUGUUGUACUUUGGACUCCAAGUCUGGCGGCUUGGGUGGGGAAUUCAAACUCGGAGCAGCGGGAGGUGUAGUAGGAUCAGUGCUGUGUGGGAGAACUGGUAUCUCCUCAGCUGUGUGGAAAACCUGAAGGUAGAAAAUAGUGUGUGUGUGUGUGUGUGGGGGGGGUAUGUACACGUGCGUGUGUGCUUUGCUCCUAUGCUUGGAUUCUCCAUUCUAGUAUCAGCAGGGUUAUGAACAUUGACCAGGCACCUCUGAGCCAGAGGAAUAAACCUAGUAGCCCUAGGCA
rnacentral:lncRNA from 1 species